rnacentral:rRNA from 1 species
AUUGAACGCUGGCGGCAGGCCUAACACAUGCAAGUCGAGCGGACGAAGGGAGCUUGCUCCUGGAUUCAGCGGCGGACGGGUGAGUAAUGCCUAGGAAUCUGCCUGGUAGUGGGGGAUAACGUCCGGAAACGGGCGCUAAUACCGCAUACGUCCUGAUGGAGAACGUGGGGGAUCUUCGGACCUCACGCUAUCAGAUGAGCCUAGGUCGGAUUAGCUAGUUGGUGGGGUAAAGGCCUACCAAGGCGACGAUCCGUAACUGGUCUGAGAGGAUGAUCAGUCACACUGGAACUGAGACACGGUCCAGACUCCUACGGGAGGCAGCAGUGGGGAAUAUUGCACAAUGGGCGAAAGCCUGAUCCAGCCAUGCCGCGUGAGUGAAGAAGGUCUUCGGAUUGUAAAGCACUUUAAGUUGGGAGGAAGGGCAGUAAGUGAAUACCUUGCUGUUUUGACGUUACCAACAGAAUAAGCAACGGCUAACUUCGUG